AUACGUAGGGUGCGAGCGUUGUCCGGAAUUACUGGGCGUAAAGAGCUCGUAGGUGGUUUGUCGCGUCGUCUGUGAAAUUCCGGGGCUUAACUCCGGGCGUGCAGGCGAUACGGGCAUAACUUGAGUACUGUAGGGGAGACUGGAAUUCCUGGUGUAGCGGUGAAAUGCGCAGAUAUCAGGAGGAACACCGGUGGCGAAGGCGGGGCGCUGGGCAGUAACUGACGCUGAGGAGCGAAAGCAUGGGUAGCGAACAGGAUUAGAUACCCUGGUAGUCCAUGCCGUAAACGGUGGGCGCUAGGUGUAGGGGUCUUCCACGACUUCUGUGCCGUAGCUAACGCAUUAAGCGCCCCGCCUGGGGAGUACGGCCGCAAGGCUAAAACUCAAAGGAAUUGACGGGG
rnacentral:rRNA from 1 species